UCCAGACUCCUACGGGAGGCAGCAGUAGGGAAUUUUGCGCAAUGGGGGAAACCCUGACGCAGCAACACCGCGUGAAUGUUAAGCCCCUCGGGGUGUAAAGUUCUGUCAGUGGGGAAGAAUAAUGACUGUACCCACAAAGGAAGCACCGGCUAACUCCGUGCCAGCAGCCGCGGUAAUACGGGGGGUGCAAGCGUUGUCCGGAAUCAUUGGGCGUAAAGCGUUCGUAGGCGGUAAAGUAAGUCAGAUGUUAAAGCCCGGGGCUCAACUCCGGUUCGGCAUUUGAUACUACUUAACUAGAAUGUGGUAGAGGUAAAGGGAAUUCCUGGUGUAGCGGUGAAAUGCGUAGAUAUCAGGAGGAACAUCGGUGGCGAAAGCGCUUUACUGGGCCAUUAUUGACGCUGAGGAACGAAAGCCAGGGGAGCAAAUGGGAUUAGAUACCCCGGUAAAU
rnacentral:rRNA from 1 species